UGGGGAAUAUUGCGCAAUGGGGGAAACCCUGACGCAGCAACGCCGCGUGAAGGAAGACGGUUUUCGGAUUGUAAACUUCUUUGAUGAGUGACGAAACAAGACGGUAACUCAAAAACAAGCCCCGGCUAACUACGUGCCAGCAGCCGCGGUAAUACGUAGGGGGCGAGCGUUAUCCGGAUUUACUGGGUGUAAAGGGCGAGUAGGCGGGAUGGAAAGUCAGUUGUGAAAUACCGAGGCUUAACUUCGGGGCUGCAUUUGAAACUUCCAGUCUUGAGUGAUGGAGAGGCAGGCGGAAUUCCCAGUGUAGCGGUGAAAUGCGUAGAUAUUGGGAAGAACACCAGUGGCGAAGGCGGCCUGCUGGACAUUAACUGACGCUGAGGAGCGAAAGCGUGGGGAGCAAACA
rnacentral:rRNA from 1 species